rnacentral:rRNA from 1 species
CAAUAGCGUAUAUUAAAGUUGUUGCAGUUAAAAAGCUCGUAGUCGGAUUUUGAGUUUGGUAAAAUCGGUCUGCUUUCCGCAGUACUGACUUGCCUGCUCUUCUUCUCGAGGCCUAUGAGUGUACUUAACCGUGCGUUCAUAGUGUUCGGGACUUUUACCGUGAGAAAAUUAGAGUGUUCAUAGCAGGCUUUUGCUUGAAUAUUGCAGCAUGGAAUAAUGGAAUAGGAUCAUGAUCUUAUUUUGUUGGUUUCUAAGAUCAAGAUAAUGAUUAAUAGGGAUAGUUGGGGGCAUUAAUAUUUAGUUGUCAGAGGUGAAAUUCUUAGAUUUACAAAAGAUUAACUUCUGCGAAAGCAUUUGCCAAGGAUGUUUUCGUUAA